AGUAAAUCAUCACAAAUCAAAACAGUUUAGACUGAAAAUCGACAACAACUGCAAUAUAUGAACAAAAUGAAUCCAACACACAAUACACACUUGUCCUUUGAGAGGUGGUGCUAAUUAAUUAAUUAAUUAAUUAAUUAAUUAAUUAUAAUUCAUUUAACAUUUCCCCCAACAUAGUAAACAAACCAGAAACUUUUCCUUCUCCUUCUUCUUCUCCUUCUCCUUCUCCUUCUUCAGCUUCUUCUUCUUCUUCACAUUCUUCUUCUUCUUCUUCUUCCUCUUCUUCUUCGCCCUCUGCGCAAACCCCUCCCGCCUUUUUGUUACGUUUGCCGCCCUUACCGCCGCCGCCGCCCAUCUUCUUCUUGACUUUGUGCAUCAUUUCCUUCAUGUGCUCGCGGUGGCCGCCGCCCUUGUGCUCCUCCUUGUGCUCGGCCACCUCCUCCUCCUCAUCCUUCUUGUGGCCAAGGUGCAGUUUCGCCUCUAGUUUAUGAACGAGUCUUGACAUUAUUUUUUCGUUUCUCUCUCUCUUUCUUUUUUUUUCUUGAUAAAUAGUUUCUCUCUCUAUAUUUUCUCUCUAAUGUCUAUAUGUUUAUUUUUUU
rnacentral:lncRNA from 1 species